rnacentral:lncRNA from 1 species
AAGCAAUUUGCUCAUAGCCAUAGCUUUCUUGUGAAAGUAGGAUAUUAACCCAGGUGUCUUGGUGCUGGAGAACAGAACUGGCCAGAGUCCAUCCUGUCUCCCACCGGCAUCCCAUUACGAAAUGAACACAGAAAAGGCAGGUCUGCAAUGCCAACAUCUAGUAUCUAUCCCAAAGACCAGGGAGAAAGGAAGGAAAGAUUCUGGUUCUGUCCUCUUCCCCAAGGCAAGGCUGGCUGCCCUACCAACAGAGGCAAAGAGAAGAGUGUGCAAGGCUGGCUGCCCUCCCAACAGAGGCAAAGAGGAGUGUGUGUUGAAAUAUCCAUUGAAUCCCUGAGACAACUGGAUCCUGGCCCAUUGAAUCAUAAACUCAAAUCUCACAUCAUAACCCCAAAUGACCUGUUACUCACCAUGUGGCCCAGCUGUCUUCAAACUCACCAGCCUCCUGCCUUAGCCUUCUAAAUGCUUGGAUUACAGGCAUGACCCACCAUAACUGGCUUUGUUUUAGUUUCAGAGAAGAUGAAACUGAUGUGCGUCAAAAAGUUAUGGAGGCUGGGAAGACCUAGAAUGUGGCAUCACUAUUUGCUGAAAUUUUUAAUAUAAUGCCUCUUAGCCUGGUUUGGAGAAAACGUCACAGAGAGGCACCAUUUGUUGUGGUUUUACAUGAAAAUUUUCUGACCCUGAACCUGGUUUGAUGGAAAUCAUUUGCUGAGGAAACCAUGCCGAUUACCGACCGAGCUCUCAAUGGAAAAAUGCAGUCGGCGUGAACCACGCACGAACACAGCAGAGAAAGAAGAAAACACACACCACGAGGAACCCUAAUAGGACAAUACAUUAUAAGCCUCAUGGUACAUCCACUUGGUGUGCUGGGAGAGUCAGGAUGAGGACCUGAGAAGAACAGCAGCUUGAACCUGACUUCAUUUAACAGCCCACUGCCCUCUUGCCAAGAACCCAUCACAGACCUUCCCAGAAGAGAGGGAUGAGCCUCACCUAUGAAUAAGUCCUCAGAAACUCAAAUUUGAUUCUAAUGGAUUGUUUUCUCAGAAAGACUGAGCAUGUCCCCCCACAUCUCUGUCAUUUCCCACAGUAGUAACCUCUGCAGAUGCCACAUAGAAAACAAAACAAAACAAAAAAACAUGAGGUUGGUGGGCAGAUAGGCAGGGUAUAAACAAACAGCCUUGUAACCCAGAAGCUGUGUGAUAUACAGUAAACUUCACAACACUGAAAAGAUGUCCUAUCUGUUAAAAUGGGGUAAUAACAACUACCCGAAUGUUUAGGAAUAGAACUUCAAUAAAUGAUACAUUUUAUAGUACAGCAGACCAUCCUGUAAAGGUUUCAUCCUUCACUGUGGUGAUAAAUAUCCCAAACCACAUUGAAAAGCAUUGCAUCUACAUUUAUCUACACUGUAACUGUACUGUAAAUCAUGGGGGAGGGGAGAAUCAUAAAAACACCACCUGUCACCGUGUCAUUAAAGCAAGUUGGAAGUGAUACUUACAGAAACACAGCAAGAGCACCCCCAGUCACACAGUUCAAUCUCUUAGCAAGCGUUUUCUUUCUAGCCCAGUGGUUCUCAGUUUGGAAUUUUUGGCACUGCCUAGAGAUAGUUUUGUUGUUAAAACUGAGAAAAGAGCCGGGCGUGGUGGCACACGCCUUUAAUCCCAGCACUCAGGAGGCAGAGGCAGG